UACAGAGGGUGCGAGCGUUAAUCGGAAUCACUGGGCGUAAAGCGCACGUAGGCGGCUUUUUAAGUCAGAGGUGAAAUCCUGGGAGCUCAACUCCAGAACUGCCUUUGAUACUGGAAGAGCUUGAGUCCGGGAGAGGUGAGUGGAACUGCGAGUGUAGAGGUGAAAUUCGUAGAUAUUCGGAAGAACGACCAGUGGCGAACGGCGACUUACUGGACACGAUUGACGCUUGAGGUGCGAAAGCCGUGGGGAGCAAAC
rnacentral:rRNA from 1 species